GACGAACCGUGCGAACGUUGUUCGGAAUCACUGGGCUUAAAGGGCGCGUAGGCGGGUCUGCAAGUCCGGGGUGAAAGCCCCCAGCUCAACUGGGGAAGUGCCUUGGAAACUGCGGGUCUUGAGGGAGGGAGGGGCAUGUGGAACUUCGGGUGGAGCGGUGAAAUGCGUAGAGAUCAGCAGGAAUACCCGUGGCGAAGGCGGCCCCCUGGGCCGAACCUGACGCUGAGGCGCGAAGGCUAGGGGAGCGAACGGG
rnacentral:rRNA from 1 species